CCAAAGUGAAUGGAACAACGCAUAUGCUCAAAAUAAAGCAUAUGUUCAUCUACCUUGCUGAAUUAAUGCUUCUUUUGUUUUCAAUUCAAUGGGAGAGAGACGAAUUGCUUCAGUAUUCCAGAUUUCAGCUGCCAAAUCUCAUCCAAGCAUACAAAUGGUGCUGCACAUUCAAAUUUGAACCAAGUGGCUCCACUGGCUAGAACCAGUGAUUCUCCAGACUUAACAACCUAAACAGUAAUUUGCAAAUAAAAGCUAAGAUUUCUGGUGAUCAAGUCUGGGAAGUUGGAGGAGAAAUGGGAUCCUAUGGGGGAAGUCUGAUCAUAACACAGCAGAAAGUGUAGAUUCUGCAGAAGAUAUUUUCAUCCAGGUUCGUCAGUAAGCAGUGGAAGAACUAGCAAUUACAACACUUGCACAGUUGACCCUACCAGAAUCAAUAGAUCAAUAGUCAUCAGUAUGAAUUUGUAUGUUGGCCCUAAGUGUGUGAAUACACAAAUCUGUAAUGCUAAAUUGUAGGUUUAUGGCACCUUUGUAAAUUUAUAAUAGUUAAAGUUUUGCCAUAUCUACAAUGCAUUUUUCUAAAAAAAAAAAAAUUGUUUUCUUAGUGUUCUCCAGUAAAUCCCCAAACUUGUAACAAGUCUAUUUGAUUAAAACUUCCCAAGCUAACCGUUGCACUCCUUGAAUUAAUGCUUAGAAUACAGAAACUAGGAAAGUCUCAUCAGCAUUUUGUACAUAUUUCAUUUUUUCACAAUUUGUUGUUCAUCUUUAAGAAAUAUUUCUAAAAGUCUCUUUAGCUGAAUAACUAGUUGCAAGGAUCAGCUGCUUAAUAACUCUGUGAAAGAAACCAAACAAAUCAUAUUUACUUAAAUCAGAAAUAUUCAGUGAAAGAAAGGAGAAUCUAUGUACAAUAUGGUGUUAUUAUUUUCCCCCGAGUAUAAUCACCAUUAAUAAUAUAAUCAUAGAAUCAUAGAAUGGUUUGUGUUGGAAAGGACCUUAAAAUUUUCUAGUUCUAACGCCCCUGCCAAGUGCAGGGACACUUUCCACUAGACCAGGUUGCUUAAAGACCCAUCCCACCUGGCCUUGAGCACUUCCAGGAGGGGGCAUCAACAACUUCUUUGGACAACCUGUUCCAGUGCCUCACCACCCUCA